CCUACGGGUGGCAGCAGUGGGGGAUAUUGCACAAUGGGGGAAACCCUGAUGCAGCGACGCCGCGUGGGUGAAGAAGGGCCUCGGCGCGUAAAGCCCUGUCAGCAGGGAAGAAAAUGACGGUACCUGAAGAAGAAGCCCCGGCUAACUACGUGCCAGCAGCCGCGGUAAUACGUAGGGGGCAAGCGUUAUCCGGAUUUACUGGGUGUAAAGGGGGCGCAGACGGCGAUGCAAGCCAGGAGUGAAAGCCCGGGGCCGAACCCCGGGACUGCUCGUGGAACUGCGUGGCUAGAGUGCAGGAGAGGCAGGCGGAAUUCCUGGUGUAGCGGUGAAAUGCGUAGAUAGCAGGAGGAACACCGGUGGCGAAGGCGGCCUGCUGGACUGCAACUGACGUUGAGGCACGAAAGCGUAGGGAGCAAACGGGAUUAGAUACCCUUGUAGUC
rnacentral:rRNA from 1 species